rnacentral:tRNA from 1 species
UCCCUGGUGGCUCAGAUGGUAAAGCAUCUGCCUGCAAUGCAGGAGACCUGGGUUCAAUUCCUGGGUCGGGAA